GUCUAGCUUCCAGUAAACAGAUAUUAGUGAUAUGUGCUGAAGAGUCUAGCUUCCAGUAAACAGAUAUUAGUGAUAUGUGCUGAAGAGUCUAGCUUCCAGUAAACAUAUGUUAGUGAUAUGUGCUGAAGAAUCUAGCUUCCAGUAAACAGAUGUUAGUGAUGUGUGCUGAAGAGUCUAGCUUCCAGUAAAUAAAUGUUUGGGAUAUGUGCUGAAGAGUAACUACUAGUAAAGAAAUGCUAAUGACAUGUGCUGAAGAGUAGCUUCUAGUAAACAAAUGGUACUUGGAAUUAUUAAUGUAGUCGUUCUCUUCGACACUGUGGUUAUAUGACCUGCUCCAGGAACAAGAAGACUAUCUUGCUGGUUCGCUAGUUCUUAGAUGAAAUUGAAGAAAGAAUCUGUGACGUAGAGACCUAAUGCAUUCCUUGAUUGGCCUUACCCUCUGUUGUGGAUUGCAGUUUCGCCUACUCAAGGUUCAUCAGUAUAGCUUGGGUCAGCAAACCAAAGAAAUACCAUUAGUUCUCUUAUAAUGGUAAAGUGUACAUAAUAUAUUAAUUUUAAGGGCCAAGAGGCCAUAACAAGGUUAGUUAUAAAACGGGUGUUUUCAAUUAUUAUUCUUAAAUUACGUUAACUAUGUAGAUCGUUGUUGUUUCACACCUCAUGGGUGAUUCUAAACUAUACAUGUCUUUGUGCAUAAUACACACAUUUCAACUUUUAUCAUUGAUAUUAUUAAAAUUCAAUGAACGGUUGAGCCCCUGUUUUCUUUCUUCCCCCACGCAUCCCAUCUACGGAUUAGUAACAUACGAAUAUACAGCAUACGGUUUGAACACAGCACGGCUUCAAUAUUUUCAAGUUUUGCGAUCCCCAAGCAGCAAUGUCAGAGUAUUGUAACUCCGCGCACUUGUCAUAGGUUUAUUUCCUGCCCGAUAACUUCAAGAACACGGAAACCUGGGCUAUCAUACAAUCUAGCAAUCUGUUUUUUUUUAAAAACUGAAGCAGGUUAGAUAUGGAGCUACCACUCUGGAUUUGUAUUUCACUUCUUAUGCAACAACUUAGGUCUUUUUGUUAAAUAAAUGUGAAGGAUAAGUAUCAUUUAUGUCUGUUUGUUAUGAAUUUCGCGCAAAGCUACACUAGGGCUAUCUGCGCUAGCCGUCCCUAAUUUAGCAGUAUAAGACUAGAGGAAAGGCAGUUAGUCAUCCCCACCCACCGCCAACCGUCACAUU